AUCUCUCUCCCUCUCUCUCUCUCUCUCU
rnacentral:sRNA from 1 species